UACGGAGGAUGCGAGCGUUAUCCGGAUUUAUUGGGUGUAAAGGGCGUGUAGGCGGGAAUGCAAGUCAGAUGUGAAAACUCAGGGCUCAACCCUGAGCCUGCAUUUGAAACUGUAUUUCUUGAGUGCUGGAGAGGCAAUCGGAAUUCCGUGUGUAGCGGUGAAAUGCGUAGAUAUACGGAGGAACACCAGUGGCGAAGGCGGAUUGCUGGACAGUAACUGACGCUGAGGCGCGAAAGCGUGGGGAGCAAACAGG
rnacentral:rRNA from 1 species